CUGAUUGGACAGCGCCUAGCGGACCGGUGAAGAAGGAAGGCUGUAAUUGGUUAUGCUGGAGCGGCCUAUUUGAAAGACUGAAGGGAAGGGAGCGGCUGGUCCGAAGGUGGAAGGCGCUGAGGGGUUAGGAGGCUCUCUUUUCACCUGCCUUAUCCGAACGGGACCUAAAAAAGAUGUUUUGACGGGUUGGAGCUACUCCCUUCUGCUACUCCGUGAGACCUCUUGCGAGCAGAUGCAGAUGUCCCGGGCUUGUAGUUGCAGAAGCUGAGAAACGGAAGGCCCAGGUCACUGCUCACCGGCACCAGAGCCAGAUUCAACGUUACUCUCUGGCUUCCGGGUUCCGCUAAGUGCUUCGCUAAGUGCUUGUACCCUGUCUCCGUCGGAAAACUUGUGUUUAAAUUACAGCUCAUAAGUACUAAUAAAACUGGGAAACGAA